rnacentral:rRNA from 1 species
AGUCGAGCGAGCUUGCCUGAUGAUUUUAGUGCUUGCCUAAAUGAAACUAGAUACAAGCGAGCGGCGGACGGGUGAGUAACACGUGGGUAACCUGCCCAAGAGACUGGGAUAACACCUGGAAACAGAUGCUAAUACCGGAUAACAACACUAGACGCAUGUCUAGAGUUUGAAAGAUGGUUCUGCUAUCACUCUUGGAUGGACCUGCGGUGCAUUAGCUAGUUGGUAAGGUAACGGCUUACCAAGGCAAUGAUGCAUAGCCGAGUUGAGAGACUGAUCGGCCACAUUGGGACUGAGACACGGCCCAAACUCCUACGGGAGGCAGCAGUAGGGAAUCUUCCACAAUGGACGAAAGUCUGAUGGAGCAACGCCGCGUGAGUGAAGAAGGGUUUCGGCUCGUAAAGCUCUGUUGGUAGUGAAGAAAGAUAGAGGUAGUAACUGGCCUUUAUUUGACGGUAAUUACUUAGAAAGUCACGGCUAACUACGUGCCAGCAGCCGCGGUAAUACGUAGGUGGCAAGCGUUGUCCGGAUUUAUUGGGCGUAAAGCGAGUGCAGGCGGUUCAAUAAGUCUGAUGUGAAAGCCUUCGGCUCAACCGGAGAAUUGCAUCAGAAACUGUUGAACUUGAGUGCAGAAGAGGAGAGUGGAACUCCAUGUGUAGCGGUGGAAUGCGUAGAUAUAUGGAAGAACACCAGUGGCGAAGGCGGCUCUCUGGUCUGCAACUGA